rnacentral:rRNA from 1 species
CCUACGGGAGGCUGCAGUGAGGAAUAUUGGUCAAUGGACGCAAGCCUGAACGAGCAAUGCCGCGUGAACGAGGAAGGUCUUCGGAUCGUAAAGUUCUGUUGAAGGGGAAAAAGAGCGGAGAGAGGAAAUGCUUUCUGUUUGAUAUUACCCUUCGAGGAAGUCACGGCUAACUACGUGCCAGCAGCCGCGGUAAUACGUAGGUGGCGAGCGUUAUCCGGAAUGAUUGGGCGUAAAGGGUGCGUAGGCGGCCUGCUAAGUCUGGAGUGAAAGGUACCGGCUCAACCGGUACAGGCUCUGGAAACUGGCGGGCUAGAGAGCAGGAGAGGGCGGUGGAACUCCAUGUGUAGCGGUAAAAUGCGUAGAUAUAUGGAAGAACACCAGUGGCGAAGGCGGCCGCCUGGCCUGUUACUGACGCUGAGGCACGAAAGCGUGGGGAGCAAAUAGGAUUAGAUACCCGGGUAGUC